rnacentral:rRNA from 1 species
UACGGGGGAUGCAAGCGUUAUCCGAAAUCAUUGGGCGUAAAGCGCCUGUAGGUGGUUUAUUAAGUCUGUUGUUAAAGCCUAGGGCUUAACCCUAGAUCAGCAAUGGAAACUGGUAAACUUGAGUAUGGUAGGGGUAGAGGGAAUUUCUAGUGUAGCGGUGAAAUGCGUAGAUAUUAGAAAGAACACCAGUGGCGAAAGCGCUCUACUGGACCAUUACUGACACUCAGAGGCGAAAGCUAGGGUAGCAAAAGGGAUUAGAUACCCCUGUAGUCCUAGCCGUAAACGAUGGAUACUAGAUGUUGCGCUUAUUGUGCAGUAUCGUAGCUAACGCGUUAAGUAUCCCGCCUGGGGAGUACGCUCGCAAGGGUG